AUAAUUACGUAUUUAUUUAAAAAAAUAUAGAAAUUUUACCUUCCAAUAAAAUUUGUAUUAUGUUUCCUAAGACGUCCGAAGUCCAUUAUGAGAGUACAUCGUAUGAUUUCCACUGCAGGUCGCUAAAUUUGACUACUUCCGUUUCCUAAGUCCCGCCUACAGCGCCCUCUAUAACGUCUGGAACCGAACCAACAAGCAAAGACAAGCCGCCAUAUUUGUCAUUGUUCGGCUCAUAAUGAUGGAUGUAGCCCCAGGAAGCCAUUAUCUGGACUUCGGACGUCUUAGGAAACAUAAUACAAAUUUUAUUGGAAGGUAAAAUUUCUAUAUUAUGUGUUCCGUUUGACGUCCGAAGUCCAUUAUGAGAGACUGUUUGUUAUCUCCUGGUGGCUUGUAUUUGAAAUAAACAAAUUUAUUUAAAAAGCAACAAUGUGACUUAUUAUGUUUAAUUGAAGCAAAGCUUGAAUUAACCACAUAAUUUAAAAUAAUCGAAGGUAACCGUAUAAUAUUACGCACUUAAUUCAAAUCGACCUAAUAGGAUUUAGGACGAAAAUACUGAGAAAGAUUUCUCAGAAUUUAUAUCAGUGUUUGAUGCAUCAAUAAUAUGUUUUUGAUAGAACUUUCUAAAAGUAUGUUCAAUUUCCUACCCAGUUUAAAGUUUUCACCACCGCUCUACAACUUCCAACUGAGGCCUGAAUACCUAAGUCUCCUAAAAAACUUUUUACCCAACUACUAGUCAUCGCUGUAGUAGCUGGCUUAGUGGAGCCUUUAGUUGCUAAGAAUAGCAAACCAGAGGAAAUUUUAGUAAUCUGUGUCAUAUUCACUAGAUUGCGUAGCCAGAAUACUGUAUCGAUGUAUUAGUCAGGAGCAGCCACGAAUGUCCAACUGGAGUGUUGGUGUGAAGGUGAAUUAGUUUUCGACCCAAAUAUGGGUAAUUUAAAAAAGGUGCAGGCUUUGCCAAGGAAAUAGAUUUCAGUAUGUGUUUCACUAUCGGACUCGAAGCUAUUUUUAUAUCCGAUAUAGUUUCACAAACGGACGCUAUAACAGACUUAUGAACUAGAAUGGUCCGGUAGGAGAGACCAUGAGAUAAAUACAGAUAAUCGAGAAAUCUAGCUACAUUUGCUAAUUCGGGUACACGAGAAUUAAUACUAUUUUCUUGACAAAACCUUACCCCUUAUUCUAAAAAUGAGCCAAGCUUUCAGGUGUAGAUUGCUGACUUGGGCUGGCGGUAAAAUUAUCAGUGUCCACCAGACUGAUGCUCAGUUAUCUGAGCUUCACGAGUCGUUUGAGGGCAGGUGAUUUCAGGUCUGGCCUCCAAAAGGGCUUCUUGCACUUGGGUACCACUAGUAUGUACAGACUUGAGGUUGAGUUGAAGUGGUCCAGCACUCUGGAUAUCAGACCGAGCGGCGGAAACGGCCAUGCUAGUCAGUAAUGCCAAGAUCUGCUGAACGCGUUGUAGAGGAGGCGUUCGAGUUUUGCUUUGAUGGGAGGACGAGCUCACAGCCCACCUGGUAUUAUAUGGUCACUAGAGCCCAUAGACGUCUAGAACGUAAAAGCGCCACCCAUCUUGAGAUAUAAGAUCUAAGGUCUCAGGUAUAGUUACAACGGCUGCCCCACCCUUCAAACCGAAAUGCACCACUGCUUCACGGCAAAAUACCUACUCGCGCGGACUCAAGAGGUCCUACCGCGAGUUUCAAUAAGUCUUGAGUAACAUAGUUUGUUAUCCAUGAGCGGUCCGAGACGCGAACAAGUCUAUGUCUGGUGUUUCCCACAGGUUGAAUAGCCUAGUGGUUGCUUCUUCUAUGAGGAGAUAACACUCCGAGCCGCCGUGAUUGCGUAAGAGGUGGCCGGCUUCGGUGUUGUACAGUCCCGGUGGUAAGUGGUGAGGGAUAAGUACAACUUUGAGGUGGUCUAUUAAAGUUAGCAAUUGAUGACGUGGUUCGUGGCCAUUCUCUGUGGAUGAAUCGGUAUCCUCUGACUGACUUUCUCUAACCACCAAUUCAGCUCUGUACGUACCUCGUCCGAAUACUGCUUUGGUAAAUGAGGAUACCUCCUGAGCUUGUUGCUGUGAUACUGCAAGAUCUCGGCAUAGCAACUUUCCCCGUUGGGUGAUGAAAGUCGCAAAGUUGAGAUAUCCUAAGAGGCUUUGCGCCUGCUUUAGGUUCCAACUGCCAGCAGCAAAUCGCACGAGCAAAUUCUUGGGCAGGGACUUUGUGUUGGAUUUGGUGUCCCAUACGAUUUCCAGAAAGUCUGUCAAGCUCGUCGGUGUCAUAACCGGUCGUUUAUAUGGGUGGACGAGUUCACAGCCCACCUGGUGUUAAGUAGUUACUGGAGCCCAUAAACAUCUACAGCGUAAAUGAUGCCACCCACCUUGAGAUAUGAGUUCUAAGGUCUCAGUAUAGUUACUUGAGAUUCCAACACGUCUUUUGCCCUUGUAGGCAGACGAGCAUACUGCCCACCUGAAAGUGAGAAGUUACCGUCGCCCAUGGACUUCAGCAACGCCAGGGGCAGAGCCAAGCCGCUGCCUAUUGCUUAAUUCUCUCCACAAGCCUCGUUUAAAGAAGGACAUGUCAUAGCGCUCGGGAAACACCGUGGAGAGAGCUCAUUCCGUAGCCAGAUGGUACGUGGCAAAAAAUACCUCUGGAAACGCACUGUCAAUGAACGCAGCGGUUCCAGAUAAUAUGGAUGAACUCUGCUCCGAUGGCGGGAGGUGCUCUGCCCUGGUGUACAAGCGAAUAACCGCUAGUCGCAGUAUUCUGAAGUAUUUCGGCUAUUCAGUUUGUCACUGAAGCAAAAAAUCCAUCCGCGGUGGUGCAGCUAAGCCGAAUGGCAGACAUGUCAUUUGAAGUAGACGACCCUGAUAACUGAUCCCGAGAAACCUGCUCAAUCUGUUGUAAAACUUAGGGACUCGUUGAUGGUGGAAAAGGUGAAAAUGACUUUCAUGUACUUGUUCAAUGCCUUGAGGUUGAAAAUUGUUCGAUUCUUUCAUUAGUCUUGGGAAGUAUGAAAAGAGGAAAUAUGAAAGACGGUGUCGGGGGUGCGGGUUCUAAAACUCUAUUGAAUUAAAUUUUGAAUUUUGAUUGACAUCAAAGGUGAUGGAGUUUGAUAGGCUGAAACAUCCAAGUUUGGAAGAACCAAUGGACAUGUUUUGUUUAAAGGUAUUUGAAAACCUGUUAUUAAUUUCAAUAUUACGUUUGGUGGAUCGAGUCCAGGUGCUUCGAUAUAGUCCUAGACAUCCGCCUGAAAAUGCUGUUGGGUAAUUUAUUUUUAUUUCCCGAUUUUCGUUCCUCUUUGAACUUGUUCCCCCUCCCCCCGUUUUUCUUGCUUAGGAAUUAUUUGGAUAGCAUCGCUCAGAAUAUCUGUUUUCGGCCUCUUUAGAUGUAUUGGAAUGUGGCCUAGCUCGACAUGGCUUUGCAUUGGCAGUACAUGCCGAGGGUUCCGGCGAUGUGGGCCGGAUGCGAGUAGCAGAUGGUGCCGUUUUGUAAUUUAUCAAUACCACCAAUCUUCUGUGUAUAUGCCAAUAAUAAGUUGGGGUUAAACAUAUAAUCACAAGAUAUUUUCUCUAAAUCUUCCCUGAUAUACCUAUCCUUUAAUUUCAUUAAGGGGUAUCUACGACAUCGUAUAACUUCGGCUCGCUUACCGUAAAUUAUUUGAAGAAUAUCGUUAGAAACUUUUAUAGCCGAAAUAGUUACCAAAUAGCGGUUUCAACUUUUCGUAAAUGGCGGAAGUAUUAAGCUGAACAUCCGCUGAAUUUGACCAGUCGGCAAGGUUUGUAUGGCAGUAUAACGCAUUCGUUCUGUGCCAAGAUAGCAUUAGAUAUCGCAGCAAAACAACAUUGCAUUUUUUUUUUUUUUUUGAAUAGCGCACCGCGUUUCAAGUCGGCUAGUCAAAUCUGAAAUAUUACGGUUUUACAUAACAAUAAAACCGAUAUUAUGUGCCGAGAAGGAAAACAUACAGCAUUGUAUUAUGAAGAAGCAGUGUGUACUUAGCUUAAAUUCCUUGUCUAUGUCCAACCAUAGACAGUCAAUUUAGUUCCAUCUUUAGCCGCUAGGUGCUGCCAGCAAGUAUAAAGGAAGCGCAGCCAUCUUUGAUCUUCAUAGUCUUCACCAGGAAGAACUUCCUGCAAUGCUGUAUGUUUUCCUUCUCGGCACAUAAUAUCGGUUUUAUUGUUAUGUAAAACCGUAAUAUUGAUGUGCCUUUGGAAAACAUACAGCAUUGUAUUAUGAAGACGUGUUUGUUAUCUGCUGGUGAAAUUAUUAAGCACAACGCUAUGAUGAAAUAGAAAGUCGACAGCGCUGCUUUAUGCAGAAGGAUUGUUUUACAGGCAAAAUUUUCUUUUUGAAAAAGAGAAAAAGAGAAAAAAAGAAAACAGAAUUUGGCAACAUCUGCAGACUUAGGAUCAAUUUUAAAACUGUAGCACCAUAUGCACCAUCUUCUAGUUGCUGGUAAGUAUGCUGGCAAAGUGGAUUGACACCAGCUUAUUUUCAAUAAAUCUUCUCCUGUGUAGACCAGUCUAUUAUUUGUACAACCCCCCCCCCCCGUUUCUAAGCUUUCAGGGUUAAUGUUUACCCUGUGGAGGAGGCAGGUUUUGGAUUUCGUGCGAGUUAUCUAGCGUUCGGGAUCUGAGGGCUUGGAAACCCAAAUGCUUUCGCUCAGUCUGGAAACACUACCAGGUAGGUUCCCUAGACACUGUUGAAGUGAGUCAGUACUCUGGGGAAAAGGUUGAGAGGAGGAAUUCUCCAUGCUAGUUGCAUCCUCUACGGUCUGCUGAAGGUAUCCAAUUUUGGUCGGCGAAUGGGUUUAUAUCCGGAUGACCCCACUUUCGAAAAACUUUUGUGGUCACUUGUGGUAAAAAGUGCCAUUUCACAGGUUGAUUUCCUCGUGAUAGCCUAUCGGCUACGAUGUUGUAUCUCCCCGAGAGAUUAUAAGCUGACAGUUAUCUUGAACUUAUCGCUUAGUUUAAAAAUCGAAAGGUCAACCGCUAGUGAAAUACUUUCAGAUUCAUUUUGAUUGUCACUACCAUUGCAAAUAGCUCUUUUGUGGUUGAGCCGUUUCAGUUGUUGAGCUGACCACAGACAGGACGUUAAUAUUUUGUCUAAUUGUAACCCCUACCCAUAUCCGAAGCUUCCGUUGCCAGGAAAUGGUUGGUUUUGUGUCUCGGCAAUGUUUGACAUGUGGCUCCGCGUCAGCACUGCAUUUGUAACCCGUACACAUGUCCGAAGCUUCCGUUGCCAGGAAAUGGUUGGUUUUGUGUAUCGGCAAUGUCUGACAUGUGGCUCCGCGUCAGCACUGCAUUUAAUUGUUAACACAUGCAGGAUGGCCUGUACGGGGUUGUUUUUUUUUUUUUUUUUUUUUUUUUUUUCUUGAAACUUCGCAAGAAAAUUUGCAAGUUAACAUAGAGUGAUGUAAUUCCGUCAGAGUUUGAGCUAGAAUGUUGUUGAGUGGCCACUUUAUUUCUCGCAAUUUUUCAUCGAAUCCCUAGCCAUGUCAUCUCUUGAACCAGUGUACUAAUUGAUUUUUUGUAAGGCUGACUUGGCAGCCCAAAUAAUCAAAGAGCUUCACAGCUUAUGUGGCCUGAAGACUCAACUUGGACUUCUUUUGAUGGACCAGGAGGGACUUGCGUAGGUGGGAUAACACUCAACAUCCCUUUGCACGCAAUGUUUCCGUGACUGAGCAUGCUAUGCAAGCAAAAAAGGUGUAUUUGUCUUCAUGGACCAAGAGAAAGUCGCGUAGGUAGGUUAACAUUUGACUUCCCUAUGUACGUAAGGUCUUCGCGACCGAGCAUGUUAUGGGAGCAAAAAAGUUUAGUUGUCUUGGUGAAACAAGAUCAAGUCGUGUAGGUAAGCUAGCACUUCGACUUUGCACGCAAUGUCUCCGCGACCGAGCAUGCUAUGGAAGCAAAAAGGUGUAUUUGUCUUCAAGGACCGAGAGAAAGUCGCGUAGGUACGUUAACAUUUGACUUCCCUAUGUACGCAAGGUCUCCGCGACCGAGCAUGCUAUGGGAACAAAAACGUUUAUUUGUCUUGGUGAAACAAGAUUAAGUCGUGUAGGUAAGCUAGCACUCUACUUUGCACGCAAUGUCUCCGCGACCGAGCGACCGAGCACCCUACAUAAUGGAAAUUGACAUGCCAGCCCAGAUAAUCCAAAAUCUUCACGGCUUCUGCAGCCUGAAGUUUCAACUUGGAUUUGUCUUGGUCGACCAAAAGGAAGUCGUCUAGGAAGACUAGCACUCGAGUUCCUUUUGCACGCAAGGUCUCUGCGACCCAGCAUGUUAUGGAAGCAAAAAAGGUUAAUCCAAAAGCUUCACAGCUUCUGCAGCCUGAAGUUUCAACUUGGAUUCGUCUUGGUCGACCAAAAGGAAGUCGUCUAGUAGACACUAGCACUCGAGUUCCCUUUGCACGCGAGGUCUCUGCGACCCGCAUGUUAUAGAAGCAAAAAGGUGUGGCUCUGAAGCCAGACCGAAGGGUAGGCAUGUCAUUUCAUACUAACUCAUAAGAAGGUACCGAUUCCUUCCUGAAGGUACUGAUACUGGUACCUUGGUACUGAUCCUCAAGAA